CACGGCGGCUCGGCGGGCGGGCCCCGCCCCCGCGAGUCUCAGGGGCCGGAAUGGGCCCGGCCGGGGGGAGCGGGGCGGCGGCACAGGCUGCGUCCAGGAGGGUCUGGAACAUCUGCAGUGAGGGACUGCUCAACUUCUCUGGGCAAUCUGUUCCGCUGACCGGUCACCUGCACAGUGAAGUUCUUCCUCAUGUUCAGGAUCUCCAUGUCUGUCCUGUCCUGAGGAGCCCGGAACUGGACACAGCACUCCAGAUCCAUCUCACUGGGGCUGGGUGGAGGGGCAGGAUCCCCUCCCUGACCUGCUGGCAGGGCUCUCCCUGAUGCACCGCAGGAUCCCGUUGUCCCUGCUGGCCCCAGCCCCGAGCCGUGCUCCGGGCAGCAGGCGCGGUCCGUGCCGGAGCGGUGGGGCCUGCGGGAGGCAGCGCCGCGCCAGGAGCCGCAUCGGCGCGUCCGCCCCGACCCCGGGCGCGGCUGCACAGCGGGGCCGGGCGGCCUCGGUACCCACUCACAGAUACCGACUCCACUCCCAGAGAGCCGCGGUGAGCUUUGGCCGGCUCAGGAGCAGCCGAAGGCGGUGCGGUGCUGACCGGACAGCUCCCGCCUGCCCCGCCGGGCAGCCCGGGAGCGCCAGCCCGCUCUCCUCCCCGGGGAGCGGCCUGGGGCUGGGAGUACCGAAUUCUUGGUGCUGAAAAAAUAACAGUUUUGGCAAAAGCGUCGUUCUGUUCUGCUGAGAGAUGGAUAAAGAACGUGGCUGUAAUGGUAGCAACUCUCUCUAAUUUGCACCAAAAUGCUUCUAAUCAUAGGCAAAUUCAGGGUUCCCAGGCCCUUCAAGUGGAACCUGGCUGACACCUGCCCAGGAGCCACGACUACAUCUUUGGCUGUGCUGUACAACUGCUUCAAUACAUACAACUGUAGCUUUUA